UGCGCCCGCCUCGUGCCACCAGGUGGCGCUGCCGGGCCGCGGCCGGGCCCGGCUCCCCUCGGGAACGGCCGCUUCCCUCAGGAACUGAGCUGGGCCGGGCAGGACCCAGCUUCUGGGCAACACCUGGCCCACCGCCCAACAGGUCACACGCUUGGCGUCCGAAAAUAAAAAUCCACAGAAAAGUUCAGUUAGAAAGCACAGCCAACAGCAGCAACUAUUUAAGUUGCAUAUGUAAACGUGUCCCUGCCCCAGUCCUGACCGUAACUGACACAGCAGUUAUGUAAAACCUGUGACACAAGGACACUCACAGGAAGCUAAUUCCAAUUCCUGCCACUGCUACAGUGUAGGAUUUGGGUAACUCUCCAUCUUGCACAGACUUUGUCACUAUUACCAGCAAAUGACAGGCUGCUGCAAUAAGGCCAGAUGCUGUGUCCCCAAGUAAUGCAGCAGAGGAAAGAUGUGCUACAGAAAACUGCACAGAACACACAGAGCACCUGCAGCUCACCACCAGCCUCACAGCCACGCAGGAUUUCUCAGACAUAAGCUGCAGGAUGCCAUCCCUCAGUGGUCCCUGCUGACAGGCAGGCAACUGGGCACCUUGCAUGCAAGCAUCCCCAAAACACCACUUCCAGAGGCAGCUGCCCGCGCGUCAGAGCCCAGCUGAAGAGAUGCAGAGAUGCUUGUGACCAGGCCAGUGCUAGCUAAUCAGCCAUUCCACUGAAGGAUCUCCAUGUGACACAUGUAUGCUUGCAAGCAGCAAGCCAUCAAACAAUCACCUGGGGAUUUUUAUGCUGAGGUGAGCUGUAUAUUAUAGCUCUGCCAGCACAGCAAUUCGAAGUGCGUUUGUCAGGAGUGGUAGGAAGCAGUAGGUUGACCCCCUCCUGCCUUCUAGCCAAUAGGCUGUAAUGACAAAACCUGUGACCUGGACACAUACCUGCCAGCAGAGCUUUGCUGAAAACCUGGCCCAGGCUCUGCUAACACAGCUAGAGCAGCAGGUCUGUAUCACACAGGAGGACUUGGGGAGCUCUACUGACAAGCUAGCCUUGCACUGACCAGCUCCAUUAUCUUCCUUGAGGACUUGCUUCCUCAUUCACAGAAUCCUACAGAACCCUACAAGGGUUCCACUGGGAAAAACCAUCCUGCAUCCCUUCAGUUGCUCUUAGUAGGUGUAGCUACAAACAUUCAAUACCUACUUUUAGUCCUGCAUGUGCUCCCAGACAUAUAUCCUGAAUCACAGAAUCCCGGAAUCAAUUACAUUGAAGAAGACCUCUGAGAUCAUGAAGUCCAACCUAUGACCUAACACUACCCUGUCAACUAGACCAUGGCUCUAAGUGCCAUUUCCAGUCUUUCCUUAAACACCUCCAGGGACGGUGACCACCACCUCCCUGGGCAGUCCUGGAGCCUCCUUCAUCCCUAAUGAAGUCAAUAUGCCAAGCUGCUCCAAGGGAUUUUGUAAAGAGCCCACCAAGCAUCUGUGAUGGUGGAACAAUAUCAUCCUAGAAGGAACACUCUACAUCAGAACUGAGACAACUCCCACAAACUUCCCAGGGGUCAUUCAAAGAUCUGUGGAAGUCUAACGCACUUCCUAGCACAAAAGGAGAUACACUGUAGUCAAGAAUUGACAAGGAGUAGCUGAUGUGGAAAAGAACCUAGAUCGCCAAGCAUUCUUAGUGCCCUCACAAGUCUUUUCACUUUUCCCUACCUUAAUUUCUACUUAUUGAACGGAUAAAGUUAUUCCUCCCUAACCUGGGGAACUAAGGCAUGACACUGCAGUUAGAUUUUCUAACCCAGCUCACUAUUCCAGCUGCUUUGCUCUAAGAACAUCUGGAUCUAUGAAAGCUUAUGAAGUCACACUUGAACACCACCCCUCCUCUCACAGCAUAUAUCCAUGCACAAGCAGGACAGUAUUAGUGACUCUUGUUCAACUCCCUUAAUCAAGUCUCCUUGCAGCAAUUCAGCAAGAAGAACUGGGGGAUACGACGGGUCACUGGUACCCAACAGCAGAUGAAUGUCACAAGCAAAAGGCUCAAAAAGGCUGCAAUUCUAGGAGAGAAAUCUGAGCAACAGUCCUUCCCUCUGAGGCCUUAUAGCAACCUAUCAAGCCAAAUACUACAGUAACCUGGCAGGAGAGAGCAUGGAAGAAAACACACUGCAAAGCAGCAUAGUUAAACAUCUAUAGCAGCUGUGCAAACAGUAAAUCAGUUUGAGUCCUUCGCAUAUAUGCUGCUCAACACUGCCUGCCACUAUGAGAAGUCCUCACAAGUCAAGGAUGCUUGCCAGGGCUGCCAAGAUCCGCAUUUGGUAUCAGCUUCACUGCAAUUGUAGGCUGCAGACAGGCUUUCAUCACCACUGGGAAAAGAGCUUCCCAUCACGAGCCCCAGAUCUACAGACAGCAUCACGUGAGUACUGGGAAAGAGGAGCCUGCAGUGCAGGCAGCCAGGGGACAUACCUCCUCGUAGUUCUUUGCUUCAACACCAUGCUUCAUAUCCAGAGUCACGAGCUGGUCCGGCAUCCUCCCUGUUCCUGGAAGCAUAAUGAAAGGAUUCCUUGUGCAAAACAUUCAGCCUGCCAGGAAAUCACCAGCUCUUCCCACCACUGAGGAAGAACUCACAACUCCCUCCCCUCCCCUCCAUGUCUGCAGCUAUCUGCGGAGGCAGCACAGUCCAGCCUAAAAAUACAGAGACUUCACAAUAAAUCCUGGCUGAAGGAGAGCCUCCCAGAGAUAAUGAGAACAAGCUGUAACUAAAAACACUGAGAGUGUAUAGGAUGCAAAUCACUGUAAAAACUGCAGAGGAUUAGAACAUGAACACCAGCUGCUAUGACACAGCCUAGCGAAAGACAAGUCAUCGGAGGGACAAAUAUUCAACUGGGGGCUCACAUUCCUCCUAACAGGAAGUGAACCAGCAACUUGUCAAGGUUACUGGGGUUGUAAAUGACUUUACAUUAAAAGGAGCAGAAGAUAAACUGCUCCAACUGAGGAAUAUGACAUAUGGGGACUACCGACCCUCACAUGCUGGAGUAUCUGCAGAAACCAAGGAAAUCCCCUUACCAAUGAUCUCAGAUACCUGAGAACCACGCUGCUAUGCAAACCCCAAGACAUCAAGAAGCUUCUGAAGCUGGGAAAGCACUGCCUCAGAGAACUGCCAGCUGGAGCCACUCAAACAGCACAUAAGACUGCAGUCAACAGCACAGUAGAUAUCUUUCAAGGCUGUAGCCCCCAGGCUAGGGACACCUAUGGCUUACAGCUUCUUUUAACUGCUACAAAGUGUCACAUCUGAGAACGUUCACACUAGGACAAUAUAUAUAUAUAUAUAGGAUAGGCAUAUCAGAUACUCUAAAAAAUGCAGCAUGUCAGCUGAUCUGAGUGUCACACUCCACUAUACCACCCACCAAGAAAAUGUCUGUACCUAAAACAUUCCCAAAGCCCAGCAUGCUGGAGCAUAUAGCUGUCCUCAGACGGCUUCCAGCAAAAUACAGUGUCUGAAUUUAAACCGUGAAUUUCAGAGUGUCUAUCCGGGAGUAUGUUCAACACUCAUAUUUUGUCACAAAAGGCUGCCGGGUAGACAUACCCUCAGUUCACAAAAAAAUUCAACUUACAGGUUAUGCUGGGUCACUCCUAUUGGAUACUGGAAGAUACUCCAUAUCUUUGAUACAACAUCCCCAAAUUUUUUCUCUACCAACUCACUGAACAGCUCUUCAACACCACAGUAGAAUCACCUCCACCUUCUACUGCCAGCAGAACAAUAAAUAACCUACUGAUAAGAUGGUGCAUAUCAAUUGUUUCUUGAAUUUCCUGAUGGAAAUGCACUAUAUAAGAGCCUAAAGGAUAAAUUAGGAUUAGGAUUAAUUUUUUUUGUUUUCUUAUAAAAGACCAGUUACUGUAAAAAAAAAAACAAACCCAAACCAAACUAAAAUCACAGCACUGGUCUUUAAUAGACAGGCUGUAUACAACCACCUGGUGGUGCUCCUUUCUCCAACCAUGAGUUUUGACUGCUUAUAGCAUACAUGUACCAGCAUGUGUUGAGACUGGCAUCCAACAGUAGUUGCAGAGGAAAAUUCAAAGCACACAGUUCAGGGAGAGGUUUUUUCAGUGUUGCUUAAAUUACAGCAACUUGGGUGGAGAGCUGGAGCUUGCAGGAAGAGAUGAGAAAGAUGAAAAAGUCAGUGAAAAGAAGAACAGAACUGCAAGAAUUAAUUUGUUAGGCUGAAAAGGAGAGCUGCCAAGAGGCAGUAAGAAAUCAGAAACGUUAAAGUCCUGGGUGCAAAGGGAUGGAGAGCAGACGUUCUGCAAGAGGUUAGCAUUGUCAGGAACUGCCCUGGAAAAACUCAAGCUGCUCUUCCUACAAGUUUACUGAGCCCAAGUCACUAGGCAGCUCCCUUUGCACUCAUCAUACCUCAGUAACCACCUGCUUCUCCUGCAGCCAGGGCUCACCAGAGCAGGCUGGAUCAGCAGCAAAGAGAAAAACAGUCAAGACUCAGAGAUCUUGACUAAACUGAUACCUACAUUCUCCAGGUCUUCAUAAGAUUAUCUCACAUGAGUACAGAACUGUUCCCCAGGAGACUAGACGAGCUCUAAUUUGCAAAGUCAGUGGAAAAGCAGGGCAGUUGAACAGAAUGUCAAAAAUUUUCCUACAGGAAUUCCAGAAAAAAGGAGUCCUGACACUCUUAAGAAAGUUUGGGAAGAGAAGGACUACCGAAGGAGCAAAGAGUUACAGAUUAGCCCACAGGAAGAGCCCUAGAGGGGAGAAUGCAGUGAGGCCAGGCUGUUCAUUUUAGAGAUUAGCAUUGGGUGGGAGAGUAAAUGUGCCUGGGAACAGAGCACUGGUCAGGAAGGCAGGACCAUUUACCCUGGAAGAGGGUAAAAAGCCUGUCUUGCAAACACCCACAGCUCCAAGAAGCACCCUAAGAGCUCUUCCACUCUGAUAAGGUGGACCUUCUAAACAGGAUCUCCUUCUUACUUCCUCUUCCUCAUUUCUGUGGUUAGGGAUUGAGAAAUCCCAGUUGCUUAGACCCUUCAGGUCCCAACGGUUCUGGGUGUCUUCUACCAACAGUUUUUCUCUUCCGGUACUCCACCAACAUCCUCCUUGGCUGCCGCCUUACAAGUCCUGACCACUUACUUUAUAAGACUGUGAAAAAAACCCUAAACUUUAAAGAGAAACAUGGGGAUUAAACAACAUUUGGUCAGUUUCCCCAUUCCCAUGCUGAUCUUAUAGAGGAAACAAGGCACUUCCUUGUGACCUGGUUACUUCUUUCAAAGUACCUUAACCAAGUCCUGCAGAUGAUCAAGCCUCACAGUGCCACCUCCCUUACUUCAUUAUUUCCUUGAUUUCCAGUAGACAUGGGAAAUCUGGAGAUACUCCCCAUGCAGUAUCUCUCUUUGGCAAGGAAUGUGGGGCACCUGGGUCCAAAAAAACUGGCAGCUUGAAGGCCCCUAAAGAGAAAGCCUCCAGAAGGAUCCAGUUGGUCAGUUGAAGAGCUCUAGACUUUGGCACCUCAGUGCCCUACAGAUCAUCAGGGUAGAAGCUGCAUUUAGAAAUAUUUUAUCCUUGUCAGUAUUGAAAACUUUAAAACAAAUUUGCAACUAGGGAGCCAGGGAAUAAACAUUUGCUACAAUCAAAAGAGUUGUAAGGGACUCAGUCUAGGCAAGAAACUGCUGCUCACAAGCACCAAACUAAGAGUCUAGACACAACUAAAGAAAGAAGCCUUUCCCACCUCAGUGUGUGAUCACAUGCAAGCUAUGAAAGGAUCUGCAGGACUGUCUGGAGACUUCUCAAAUACCCAGGUGUUGGAAAGUAAACAGCAUGAGUGACUCCCAGAUGAGUCACUAGUGCCUGCAUGUCUCAAUGUGUUAAGGAACAUUUGGAAAUCCUACCUUUGGAGUAAAAUAAAAGAAUAAUCCUGAACAUUGGGGGUCACUAUCUUAUCUGUAAAAUACUACAGAAGAGGUGUUACAAGCCAGAUCCCUCCCAAUCCCAGUAAAGAAUAUAGCCUUCUCUUUCUGGAAAGUUCUCUGCAACUUGCGAACUAUUUGCAUCUUAUAUGUGGAGCAGAACAGCAAAACAGUGUCUGCCUUUCACCAGAUACGAGGCAUGUUGCUAGUGACUGCUCUGUGAAAUGCUCCGGGAUCUUUUAGGAUAAGACCUAAGAAUGACUGGGUCCAGGGAGCAGAACUCUGACAACGAAAAGACGUAGCACCUACAAACUUGCACAGACUCACACCACUGUAGAUGAGAUGAGAGCCCAUGUGUUGGCCAAUUUCAGCACGUUUGUCCUGAAGUUGAGUGCAGCCACUCAAAGCAACACACGCGUCACACUCAUAGGAAACGAGCCUGAGCACUCGUUAGGCAACCAUCCUUGCAGCACAAAUGCAAGGCUGACGUCCUUGCUCAUUUCCCCUUCCCUUUACUGACCACUUGUGGGUGCAAAUCAAGGCCACAUUCCUUAUACACGCAUAGCUAAACCCCAGAAAAUGGUUAUCAACCUAUUGCAGGAUAGCUGCCAAGUACACACUUGUGGAGAGAUCAAGUUCUACCAAAUGGGAAGAGCUGGCCAGCAGGGGUGAAAGACAGGUCCUGGAGAUGAUGGCAUCUUGCUCUGUCCUGACUCAACUGCAAGAUGGGGAGAAGCAUGAAACUGGCAAAAGAAGUGUGGUUUGCUCCCUGGUACUGCCACUUAUUGAAACUGUGGUGACUGUUGUGGGAGGAACAUCUGAUUCCCCUUUCAGAGGAAACCAAGCACUCUACACAACAGCCACAGAGAAUUAUUAAACUUCAAAUGCAACACUGACAGCAGAUACUCUGCAGUGAGACUGCCCACAACACCCUGAGGAUCAGCUUUAAAAGUCAAACAGUAUUCUGUGGACCAUGCUAAGGAUCAUUUUUACCUGUAUCCCUAAUCCACGUUAUCAUGAUCAGAAACUAGAAGCAGCCAACAGAUCUUUCACUUACCCACAGGAAGCUUGCUCUCAAAGCAGGCCUCAAACAUAUCAUAGUCUUCAGUGGUGAAGGCAAACUUGCCCUUAGUGGCAUCCUCCUUGGCGUACAGGAUGUGCCCAGCUGAGUCAGUUAUCUAUAAGAGAGACAAUGAGGGUAAGAAAUAUUAUUUGUAACAGAGAAAAUGAUGGUAACAGUACUUUGCUGCCACGGGUUCAUGCUGCCUGUGCAGGAAAAGUAAUCCUAGUAAUCCCUUUGGAUCUGAUGCUUUCUCCUUUCAACAGUUUCCCUCCUUCUUCACAACUACAUCAGUUCCUCCGCUUGUAAUCCCCACUCCAGGAGCUGACAGCCAGAGUGACUCUAAAGUAAUUAUUGACUCUUUAGAUUCAAAAAAAAACAAACCCAAAAAACACCCAAAGAAAAAACCCCUACCACCAAAAAGUAAUCAACCAACCAAGCAACCAAAAAAAAAAAAACCCAAACUGAAAACCACACUAAUUCCUCUUCCUCCUGUAAACCCCAAAUACAGACUACAUGUAGGAACUCUAGCUGAACCAAACAGUUAUUCACUGCCUUAAUUUUGCAAGCAAAAUCCAUGAACUCCCAUAGCAACAGAGAUAUGGAGAAGCCUUAUGGGACAAAGACGACUCAUUCCCCAGAAGAUGGAGAAGGGCACAUCUAUUCCUCUUGAAAUGAAUCAUGAGCGUGGCUCUGAGGUAGACAAGGUUUGGGUGCCAAGAUCCAUAAAAGUGGCCACUUCAGAGGACUAUUCAGACUACGCAGACAGAAUAAUGACUGCUUUGCACUAAGUCUAUAAAACUACUAAGAAUAGGCAAAAACUGUGGAAGGUCUAUAAAAAUGCUUCAACAAAGAGUAUAAAUAAAGGACAUGCAUUUCAUGACACAAACUUGAGAAUAACUGCUCAAUUAAUGAGGCUCCAUCCAGUUGAAACACUCUGACCUCGAAGAGGGGUGGAAAAACCCAGAGGUGUUACAACACUGCAUGAAAAUCAACAGUGUGAUUCCACUGGAAUGCCUCCCAGUUUCCCUCAACUCUAUCCAUCAACAGUUAGAACAAAAUAGAACUUCCAUGAGCAGUACUACGUGAAUACCAGCUUCAUCAGCAAAGCCAGACUAAGAUCCAAACGUUGGAUUCAUUGCUUCACCACCAUCUCCCUAGACAAGUCCUCUGUCAUAAAAGUGAGUUUUGGAAGAGACUUUGGGGUCAGCUGACCUAAGAGUGGGCAACUUGAGAAUCAGGAAGCCUGGUCACCAAGUGGUAAGAGACAGAUGGGAACAUAGCACUUCAACUGAAAUACAUGUGCCUUAUGAGGCAAAUACUC